rnacentral:rRNA from 1 species
ACUCUCAACAACGGAUAUCUUGGCUCUCGCAACGA